AGAUGUAUGAAAUGCUAGAGGAAGCAUCAAAAUCAAUUUCUGAAACAAGAUGAUGGGACCAAUGGGAAGUGUUUCCCAAGGGCCACAAUUGGAAGAAAUGGAAUUAGCAGAGACACUGGAAAAAAAAUGUUGCUGUCUCUUUUUCUGCAAGAUAUGCCUUGGGUAAAGAGCACAAAAGAACAUUCCUGAGGACAUUUCAUCAAUGGCUCUGCAAACAGCAAGUGUUUUCUACUUAUCAAUACAGUAGGUUGACUCAGAAAUAACUUCUGAACUGCCAAGCAACAUGAAAAUGAACCAAAUGGAUUUGCAGAAUGAAAAAGUAACAGAGGUGAGAAGGAGGCUGGAGAGAAGACAUAAAGAGACUGGGCACGCCGUUCUAUAGUACAAGCUGGUAUGGGGUGCAAAACUUGAUGAGAAGCUACUUGAGUACCUUGCAUCAAGCUCCAUGUCACUGCAAGGAUGUGAACACAGAAACAUCCAGGUUGGAAAAGACUCUCAGGAUCACCAAGUCCAACGUACAACCCUACUCUGCAAAAUUCACCUUAAACCAUAUCCCAAAGCACCACAUCUAAACAACCUUAAAACACACCUAGGGUUGGUGACUCAACCACCUCCCUGAGCAGCUGAUUCCAGUGCCUGAGCUAUAUGAAAUCUUCCAAAUCUUUUAGUAAUUUUGAAAAUUUUGUUCAGCUCAAACUGUGUUAUCCUUAUUCUUUUGAGCACAGUGGAAUACAAAUGUGCUUUAUAAACUCUUAACAACAAAAUCCCAAAAGACAUGAAAAGAAAAUCAGGCUCUGAAGAUCUGUCCUCUUCCAGCUGCAGCUACAUGGGCUGACCGUGAUCUUGGAUGCUUAUGCAAUCUCAAGAGCCUCAGACCUUUUUUGUUCAGCACCGGCCUGUGUCAGUGUCAUGGUAGGCCUGAAUAGGCCAAAAUGGGCCUGAACAUGUCCUGGCUUGACCAGGCAUGAUUUUCUGCUCUCCCUCCUUCUGUUGUGGGGAGUAGCAACCACAGGAAAGAGGACAAAGAACAUGGAGCCACUGAGUCUAAGGACUCUGGCUUGACUAGACUUGUUUUGCUCCCAUUUACAUCCUGUGGAAAACAAGGUACACACACUUGGCUUAUGCCUGCCUCAUGCAAGGACUAUGUUUCCCUAAAUUUGGAUAAAGAAAGCCUAUGGCCUCACCUACUAUGGUCAAGCUUGGAUAACUGCCAUUCUGAUUGGCUAAUUUGUGUCCAAAGACCCAGUAGUCUUGGGCUGUAUUGAUAAAAAGAGAUGAGCAGGUAACACAACGUGCUCUGCUGUUGUGUUUGUGCUUGCUUGCCUGCUGUUGCCUGCUACUAUUUCUCUCUGCUUCUGGCAGUGUUAUGCCUCACUGCCUUACUGCCUUCUACAGCAUUAUGCUUUGUUAAGCUGUAAGUUAGCUCUCCUGAACUGCCUGGAAACUGCCUGCCUCAAGUUUACCAGGAACAAGCUCCAAAUACCUCCACGCAAUCAACCUGCACAGCCAGCAUGACAUUGUGUUGGGACUGCACAUCGCAAGACAUCCUGCCUACACCUGGUAGUCUCCUGCCAAGACGGGAAGUGCUGGAGAUAACACAGACCAUCCAGAGAAAUCAGAACCAGGUCAGAGAUCAUCUGCCUCCUUUUCCCCAGCACCCUGUGAAGCCUGGGAAGAAUGAGAAGCCUCAGUGGCUAAGACGACACCAACAGAACCUUCUGCAAGUGUUUGGGUACUGUCAGAAGCUGUAGCUAGCCCCACGAGUUGGGAGAUAACUUUCUGAAUGAAUACUUAAAGCCUCUUGUAAUUCUCCAGUUGCCUUCUGCCACAAGCAGGAAGGAGCUUCCUGAGUCCAUCUAGUGGGCAAGGGGUAUAUUAACCACGAGGAGUAUAUUAACUGCGAGAACCUUCUCUUCCAGUUCAACUGAUGUUAUAUUAUCGCCAGCUAUCAGUUCUAGAUCCUAUGCUGUUGUUUUUAUAAUGUUUCCGUGACCAUUGCAGAAGACCCUAAUUAUUAUUUAAAAAAUAGUGGCUGGGGUGGUGAGAGUUCUGAACAUUGAAAAUUAAUAAACAACAUUAAUUUUUUAAAA